GACGAACGCUGGCGGCGUGCUUAACACAUGCAAGUCGAGCGGUAAGGCCUUUCGGGGUACACGAGCGGCGAACGGGUGAGUAACACGUGGGCGACCUGCCCUCAGCUCUGGGAUAAGCCUGGGAAACUGGGUCUAAUACCGGAUAUGACCACAUGUCGCAUGGUGUGUGGUGGAAAGUUUGUUCUUAAUUGGACACUUCGGCUGGGGAUGGGCCCGCGGCCUAUCAGCUUGUUGGGGGGUGAUGGCCUACCAAGGCGACGACGGGUAGCCGGCCUGAGAGGGCGACCGGCCACACUGGGACUGAGAUACGGCCCAGACUCCUACGGGAGGCAGCAGUGGGGAAUAUUGCGCAAUGGGCGGAAGCCUGACGCAGCGACGCCGCGU
rnacentral:rRNA from 1 species